CAGUCGCCACGGGAAUACGAAGGGUGCAAGCGUUAAUCGGAAUUACUGGGCGUAAAGCGUGCGUAGGCGGUUUGUUAAGUCUGUUGUGAAAUCCCCGGGCUCAACCUGGGAAUGGCAAUGGAUACUGGCAAGCUAGAGUGUGUCAGAGGAUGGUGGAAUUCCCGGUGUAGCGGUGAAAUGCGUAGAGAUCGGGAGGAACAUCAGUGGCGAAGGCGGCCAUCUGGGACAACACUGACGCUGAGGCACGAAAGCGUGGGGAACAAACAGGAUUAGAUACCCCGGUAGUCCCUGUCUCUUAUAC
rnacentral:rRNA from 1 species